rnacentral:rRNA from 1 species
AUUGAACGCUGGCGGCAUGCCUUACACAUGCAAGUCGAACGGUAGAGUAGCAAUACUCGAGAGUGGCGAACGGGUGAGUAAUAUAUCGGAACGUGCCCAGUCGUGGGGGAUAACGUAGAGAAAUUUACGCUAAUACCGCGUACGAUCUACGGAUGAAAGCGGGGGAUCGCAAGACCUCGCGCGAUUGGAGCGGCUGAUAU